rnacentral:lncRNA from 1 species
UCCGUUUAGGUGUGCAUGUGGCACUCUUUGGUCCAGGAGAAUUUAUUGUCCCUGAGUUACUUCUUGCCCUAUACAAAGAGCCAGUUCUCUACAGUCUUGGAGAGAACAGAGGGGUGCUUUCCCUGCGAAUACUGGGAAUAAGAAAGAGUGACCUCUGACCACUGUGAUUGCAUCACAUCAUGGACUCUUCUGAACCUCUCCACCUGAGGAUGCAGACCUCCUUCAGUUCUUUAUUCUCUGUUGUCUUCUUGUUUGUUUAUAGUCUAUCUCUGUAGUGCUGUCAAUAUUACUCUCAAAUUGGUUUAUUUACCUAUUAUAUCAGAUGUAUUAAAAAUGAACUUCAUUAUGAUGAAACAUUUUACGGUAUAUUUGUUGGCUCAAAAAACAAGACAACCCCGCCCAUAAGACUGGCUAACCAAUAGCAAUAGGCAUAGUCUUUAAUCCCACCCUUUCUUCCGGUGCCUCUUUCCUUAAGCGCUUUGGAAGUUUCUUAUGUACACAUUUUAUGUUUGUGCAUGGAGCUCCGAAGUACAAUAGUCCGUGUAAAUAAAACGUAUCUUUUGACGUUUUUUAAACUCUUCGGAGCGUGGUCUGAGCGGUGUGCGUUGUCUUGUAGCUAAAGAGCAAAGAGGGCGAUUUACUAUGGCUUGUCCGAUUUAUCCAAAGGACACACCGCAGCCCACAGAGGACAUCGAAUUUCAGCAAGUACUGCGUCAAAUUGGAGGUAAAGAGAAUAUAUACUUAGUAAGUGAUACCGUUAAAUCGGAUGAGGAGGACGAAGCCAGUGGGAUAUUAAAGGAGUUCAUUCAAGACAUGUUUCAUAGCGGGCGCACUGAAAACCUUGGCACGAGCCAUACCAACAACAACACUAACGGUCAGAUUUAUUCCUCUCCAAAUAGUCAAGGGGAUACUACAAGCGAAAAUAUUGGGACAUGCGAAACAGUAAACAACUGCAAGACUUUGCCUCAAGCCCAGGGGAACGAAAUACCUCUGUCAACGAGGCCAAAGGAUUUAGUAUUGAGUGCCAAAUCUAUGGGAGAGGAUAAAGGACCACCGAGGCUCAAUGGGAACGUCCAAAAGACCAAAACCUCAAGCAUGAAUAGUUGUAGAGGAAAGCGAAUAAUAGACUAUCCUAUUAUAAUAUUCAUAUUUAGACAGGAGUUUUUCAGUGGCAGUGCAAACGCAAUUUGCCUGAAAGAAAUUCUGAAGGAUGUUAGGUCACGUGCGAAACGUGGCGGUGUCCGCCCAGCACUAGUCGGGUUAAUACGCUCAACAGGUGAGAGCAACGAGACGCGUGAAUCAGUGGGAUUUCUGGAGGGCCUGCUUCGUUCGGUGUUUCGGAAACAUCCACCAGAAGCCAUCUGGGCAGGGCAUUUCAUUCCCAAGACAGAGGAUAGGAUGCUGGCCAUCAAGAAAUACGCCUGCAAAGCCAUCUAUUCGGCCCAAUCCUCAGAUAAUUCUGAGGAAAGAGGGAACAUGUUUUUAAGGCCAUUCCAAUGUUUGCCUUGGCCUAGAAGACACAACAGCCAGGCCAACAACACUUCAGCAAACAGGCAAAGAGGUGACGCUGCUAGUGCAGAGGAAGGGAUCCCUCUGAAGACGGGUGUUUUGUCCUCUGGACCCCAGGCAGAGUCCGACUGUGGUGUAACCAAAAAGGACAGUCAUGAUGACACUCGUGGGUCAUGA